UGGGGAAUAUUGGACAAUGGGGGCAACCCUGAUCCAGCGAUGCCGCGUGAGUGAAGAAGGCCUUCGGGUCGUAAAGCUCUUUAGGUUGGGAAGAAGGUUGUAGGAGGAAAUGCUUACAAUUUGACGGUACCGACAGAAUAAGCACCGGCAAACUCUGUGCCAGCAGCCGCGGUAAUACAGAGGGUGCAAGCGUUAAUCGGAGUUACUGGGCGUAAAGGGCGCGUAGGCGGUAAGAUGUGUGUGAUGUGAAAGCCCCGGGCUUAACCUGGGAAGUGCAUCGCAAACUAUCUAACUGGAGUAUAUGAGAGGGUGGCGGAAUUUCCGGUGUAGCGGUGAAAUGCGUAGAGAUCGGAAGGAACGUCAAUGGCGAAGGCAGCCACCUGGCAUAAUACUGACGCUGAGGCGCGAAAGCGUGGGGAGCGAACAGG
rnacentral:rRNA from 1 species